rnacentral:lncRNA from 1 species
GGGGUGGGGACCCUGGGGACUUCCCCUAUAUUUCAUUUGAUUAUUUAUUUAGUCUCAUACAUGAAUGUAUAUGGUCGAGGGGUGGGGAUCUCAUCCGUUUCAAAGUUAUCAAACAGGAGGAGGUAGAGUGGCCCAAUGGACUCCACCUAUAUAUAAUAAGAUUUGCUUACAUUCAGGUAUCAUAUAUAUAGGUUGCACUAUUUGUGCCUGUCCAAGUCAGGAGCCUGUAAUUCAGUGGUUGUCGUUUGUUUAUGUGUUACAUAUUUUUUUCAUAGUUAUUUUUUUUAUAUAAAUAAGGCUAUUAGUUUUCUCGUUUGAAUUGUUUCACAUUGUCUUAUCGGGCCUUUUUAUAGCUGACUAUGUGGUAAUGGUAUGGGCUUUGCUCAUUGUUGAAGGCAGUACAAUGACCUAUAGUUGUUAAUGUCUGUGUCAUUUUGGUCUCUUGUGGACAGUUGUCUCAUUGGCAAUCAUACUGCACAUCUUUUUUUUUUAUAUAAGAAACUUCCAGCUAUUUUAACUGACCCAUCAAAAUUGAGAAGAAAAAAAUACCCCUUGAAAUUGCAGUAAUAUGUUUAACUUUAAAAGCAUCUAACAUGCAUUACCAACAUUUAUCACUGAUAAAGAAAAUUUAUACUGUUACCAGGAACAUAUAUAUUGUUAGAUAAACUGUUCCCAGCUGUCACAUUGUAUUGGAUUUUGACAUUAAAAUUUGUGUACAAAAUGUUUUCUGCUUUUUCUUUCUUUUACAUAUAUCUUUUGGUUUUCAAUUCUAGUGUUUAUAUUUAUUUACCAUGCAUAGAUGUAUUUUGUCACCUGUCUGGAUUUUUUUUAAAUGAUAGCCAAACCCGGGAUUACCAUUAUCCGCUUCCGGAAUCGGAUCCGAUAUUGUAAUUGUCUUCCCCGGCAGCCAUUUUAUUUUCAAUGUUGUUUUUGACAGAUGGAGUGGGAUACGAUUUUACUCGGAUUUACACAUUAUUUGUCGGCGAUUUUCUGUAUAAAUCUAGCGGUUGAACAAAUUGAACAUCGCUGUCAUGGAUAGUAAUGAUGAAAAUAAGUUUGAGAUCGUUUAUUAGAAAACUUUGGUAAAAAUGUUUGGAAAGUUAUUUUUUUUAUUUUCUUUCAAGGUCCGGGCGUAGCUAGUAACCAAGUAGAAAGUCCGACUGCAAAAAUGGAAGGUCGCAGACCUCGGACCACCGCUAAUUUGAACCCCUGCGUCCAAAUUGAAAAGAUACGAAAAUUUCGUAUUCUAAUUCAAAAUUGCCGCCAACAGCGUGAUCAGUCGAACUUAUUUUAAUAGACUACUGACGUAGUUGACUACGUAUUGAUGACAAACAAUAUUCCUACGACUUUUGCAAUUUGGGAAAUCUAAACUACUUGUCUUUAGAGAUUUUCGGCGAUUAAAUAUUUCAUACAUUUGUUCUUUGACAUCUUAGCCAAUCAGGGGAUAAUAAAAUACAUAAGGAUUCCUAAUGUGCUCUACUUCCUAUGUGCAACUUCAAAACUUUUGGGAAAAUCGACGAUCAUUUAAGGUUUUUUGGUCAUAUUUUUUGUAAUCCAGAAUGAAAAGUAUGAAAAAAAUGUCCAAUAAGUUAUAAAUAACAUAAUAUCCAGCUAGAUAAUAACAAUGGCACGUAUUUCAGCAUUUAUUGGGUAGAACACAAAUCCAGGGUGCUCGCAUAAGGCAGCUUAACUGCCUAAAAAUAUAA